ACAGCAGACUCGUGACAGAAAAUCAGUCAAAGCAGGCUGAUUCAACAACUCACGCUCAAAGGGCCCUGCAUGGCCUCCUGGGUGUCUCAUACUUCUAGAAGCGUGAAGACAGAGGCAUGUCUAUAUCCUCAAAGACUCCUGUGAAAUGAGGAGUGCUGGAAGAAAUGUGUGGGGAUCAGGGCCGCAGUCAGAGAAACGGAGCUUGGCUGCAAAUUAAACAGCCAGUCUGCUGAGACCUGAGUCACCACCAGACACUGCAAAUUAUUAAUACUCACGCCUGCUAAAUUCUUGGACUUUGCAAGACAGUGUCUCCCUGGCUGAAGCUGAGUCUUCCAGCUGAUGACUUUACCCAGACUGAGAAAGGUCACUUCACAGGCACUGCCUCUGGUCCUUAUAGCUCAGCGCAGCCUGGGAAACCUCAACGGUGUUCUACAGACUCCACCACCUAGAACCUCCUGUGGUCUCUCAAAAGGUCCACUCUUAUUCUGUCCUCCUGUGAAUGAGAAAGGGACUGCAUCUCAGUUGAGAGACCCUUUAUGCUCCACGAAAACGGAGAUGCAGCCGCCCCUCCCCUGCUGCUCAAGGAGAGGACCAGAAGCCUCCUCUCCCACCAGACACCAGAACUUCCGCUGGUGACCAUCACAGCCGCUGCUCCUCCAGACGCAAUGAUCUCUUUGUGGUUGUUGAUUCCACACCACCCGUUGCUGUUCCGAAGUGCAGGACUCAAGCAGACUGGUGUUGAAGCCGGGGACCCAUCUACAUGACAAGAGAUCGCACGGUCCUCAGAACUGUUCCUCCCCA